GCGGACUUGGAAUUGAGUGCGACGGUAUUAUCGCUAUCAGCUUCAGGAUCCGAUAGAAAAACGCGAUAAAAUGUGACACGGACAUUGCAGAGGAAUUAUUAUGCGGUAGAAUUUUUAAUUGAAAAAAAAUGACAUCAGACAGUUUGAAUAAUACUAUUGACAAUCAUAAAAUAUAUAUAAAUUCAUCUUGCAACCAUCCUAGACGAAUUCCAUUGAAAGAAAGAAGCGAGAGGAACAGCAAAGUCUAGAGGCGAACAAAAUGAAAGGAGAAAAAUAAGUGAUCUCGUUGGAUCUACUAUAGUAUAUUUGCUUGUUGUUAUUUCGCAUGAACCACGCGAUUCUAUUCUAUAUAUUACGCCCAUUAUCUUAGACGUUGCCUUCAUUGUCCAGGAAGAAACGAAACAUUGUGUUACGUUUGAGAUGGUCGUAUUUGUAUGCGAUAAUUGUCGCUUUUUUUUUAACUGUUUCACUGCUGAAUAUAUAUUCCAAGACAAGACGAUCAGGACUAAAUAAAUACCGUGGGCACGCAUUUCACAAAACGUAUUACGUAUUAUGGUUUCAGCAGUAAAAGCUUAAUGUCUUCGAACAUGAAUAAAAGAUAAAUAUGCUGUGUGAG
rnacentral:misc_RNA from 1 species